AGCAGCCGCGGUAAUUCCAGCUCCAAUAGCGUAUAUUAAAGUUGUUGCAGUUAAAAAGCUCGUAGUUGAAUUUCGGGAUCAAUUAAUUGGUCGUGCCUCUGGUACGCACUGGUUUUAUUGGUUUCUCCCUUCUGACGAACCACGAUGUCAUUAAUUUGGUGUCGUGGAGAAUCAGGACUGUUACUUUGAAAAAAUUAGAGUGUUUAAAGCAGGCUAACGCUUGAAUACAUUAGCAUGGAAUAAUGAAAUAGGACGUUUGAUCCUAUUUUGUUGGUUUCUAGGAUCGACGUAAUGAUUAAUAGGGAUAGUUGGGGGCAUUAGUAUUCAAUUGUCAGAGGUGAAAUUCUUGGAUUUAUUGAAGACUAACUACUGCGAAAGCAUUUGCCAAGGAUGCUUUCAUUAAUCAAGAACGAAAGUUAGGGGAUCGAAGACGAUCAGAUACCGUCGUAGUCUUAACCAUAAACUAUGCCGACUAGGGAUCGGAUGAUGUUAAUUUUUAAUGAC
rnacentral:rRNA from 1 species